UAGGGAAUAUUGGGCAAUGGAGGGAACUCUGACCCAGCCAUGCCGCGUGCAGAAUGAAGGCGUUAUGCGUUGUAAACUGCUUUUAUAUAGGAAGAAAUAGUCCUUGCGAGGAAAGUUGACGGUACUAUAUGAAUAAGCACCGGCUAACUCCGUGCCAGCAGCCGCGGUAAUACGGAGGGUGCAAGCGUUGUCCGGAUUUAUUGGGUUUAAAGGGUGCGUAGGCGGUUUAUUAAGUCAGUGGUGAAAGACGGUCGCUCAACGAUUGCAGUGCCAUUGAUACUGGUAGACUUGAGUAUGAUUGAGGUAGCUGGAAUGGAUAGUGUAGCGGUGAAAUGCAUAGAUAUUAUCCAGAACACCAAUUGCGUAGGCAAGUUACUAAGUCAUAACUGACGCUGAGGCACGAAAGUGUGGGUAUCAAACAGGAUUAGAUACCCUGGUAGUCCCUGAGCGGGCUGGCAAGGCGCAU
rnacentral:rRNA from 1 species